rnacentral:rRNA from 1 species
GACGAACGCUGGCGGCGUGCUUAACACAUGCAAGUCGAACGGAAAGGCCCUGCUUGCAGGGUACUCGAGUGGCGAACGGGUGAGUAACACGUGGGUGAUCUGCCCUGCACUUCGGGAUAAGCCUGGGAAACUGGGUCUAAUACCGGAUAGGAGCCAUUUUUAGUGUGAUGGUUGGAAAGUUUUUUCGGUGUAGGAUGAGCUCGCGGCCUAUCAGCUUGUUGGUGGGGUAAUGGCCUACCAAGGCGGCGACGGGUAGCCGGCCUGAGAGGGUGGACGGCCACAUUGGGACUGAGAGACGGCCCAGACUCCUACGGGAGGCAGCGGUGGGGAAUAUUGCACAAUGGGCGCAAGCCUGAUGCAGCGACGCCGCGUGGGGGAUGACGGCCUUCGGGUUGUAAACUCCUUUCGCUAGGGACGAAGCUUUUUGUGACGGUACCUAGAUAAGAAGCACCGGCUAACUACGUG